GAGCGGAGCGGAGCGGAGCAGAGAUGCCACCGCCGCCGUUCGGCCCCGCCGUGACGCGCCGUGCGCCGGGCGGGGCGGCGGGAGAGCCGGGGGGGGAACCGCAGUGCCGCAGCUCCGCCGAUACCGGAACCCCCGGAGAGGCCUCGUGUCCGGCGCCGCUGACAAAUGGCGAAGUAAAUGGGACAGAUUGGGGACUGCUGCCGUAAAUCACAGCGCGGCGCUGCAGCACUCCAUGCCCGACUGGGAGCAGCGAUGUCCCCGCGGUGCCCCCACAGCCCCCCCCAAACCCCGCUCACCAUUAUGGCUUUUUCCCAUCGGCGUCGGCGCUGUGCAGGCGGGGGCUGCGGGGUGGGGGCGGCACGGAAGGGGUUAAAGCAGUUAUAAAUUACCCGACGGACGGACGUGGAAAUGCUACAGAGAGGAAUAGAAGGAAAACUCGGCCCGCUGGAUUCUUGGCAUUUGCAGCCUCUUUAUUUGUCCCACAGGUCACUUUAGAAGGAUGCAGGCGGUCAGACAGCUCCGCUGCGCCCAUCCCUGGGCCUGCAGUGAGGGGGGGGGGGGGUCUGUGUUGUGCACCCCGACCCCCCCGCAGCCACGUGUGCCCAUAUCUGAGGAGUGCUGCGCUGCGCUGCGCUGGGAGUCACCAAUGGGGCUCAUGCAGGGGGACGCGCUGUGCGGAGGGUGACAUUCUGGGGUGACAUUGGGGAGGUGACAGUGCCGAGUGACACCGAAGGGGCGACAUCGGGGGGUGCCGUCGGGGGGCACCCAUAGCCGCCCAUCAGCGCUCGGUGCCGUGGGCAGAGCGCCGCACAAUCAGCGCUGCAAAGGUCACCGCCAAAGGGCAGCAGCAGUUCGGCGCGGAGCUCCGCUGACUCAGACGGCGCUGCUGCGGUCACCGCUGCGCCCCAUCCCGUCCCCACACCGGGUAUCACCGCCCCCCCAGCCCCGACCCCAUCCCGCUCCCUGCCCCGCCGUCACCAUCCCCGGCGGUGCCCCCAAUGGGGUCCUCUCCUCAACACCGCCCCCCCCCCCCCCACUACACCACCAUCCCCUCCACGACACCGCUGCCCCCCCCUUCACCCACAGGGACCCCACGCGGCCCCGCUCCGGCCGCCCCCCCCGGCGCUGGCAGGCGCAG
rnacentral:lncRNA from 7 species